rnacentral:rRNA from 1 species
UGGGGAAUUUUGGACAAUGGGCGAAAGCCUGAUCCAGCAAUGCCGCGUGUGUGAAGAAGGCCUUCGGGUUGUAAAGCACUUUUGUCCGGAAAGAAAUCCUUGGCUCUAAUACAGUCGGGGGAUGACGGUACCGGAAGAAUAAGCACCGGCUAACUACGUGCCAGCAGCCGCGGUAAUACGUAGGGUGCAAGCGUUAAUCGGAAUUACUGGGCGUAAAGCGUGCGCAGGCGGUUUGCUAAGACCGAUGUGAAAUCCCCGGGCGUCAACCUGGGAACUGGCAUGGUGAGCUGGCAGGCUAGAGUAUGGCAGAGGGGGGUAGAAUUCCACGUGUAGCAGUGAAAUGCGUAGAGAUGUGGGGGAAUACCGAUGGCGAAGGCAGCCCCCUGGGCCAAUACUGACGCUCAUGCACGAAAGCGUGGGGAGCAAACAGGAUUAGAUACCCUGGUAGUCCACGCCCUAAACGAUGUCAACUAGUUGUUGGGGAUUCAUUUCCUUAGUAACGUAGCUAACGCGUGAAGUUGACCGCCUGGGGAGUACGGUCGCAAGAUUAAAACUCAAAUGAAUUGACGGGGUCAUAGCUGUUUCCU